GAUGAACGCUGGCGGCGUGCCUAAUACAUGCAAGUCGAGCGAACAGACGAGGAGCUUGCUCCUCUGACGUUAGCGGCGGACGGGUGAGUAACACGUGGAUAACCUACCUAUAAGACUGGGAUAACUUCGGGAAACCGGAGCUAAUACCGGAUAAUAUAUUGAACCGCAUGGUUCAAUAGUGAAAGACGGUUUUGCUGUCACUUAUAGAUGGAUCCGCGCCGCAUUAGCUAGUUGGUAAGGUAACGGCUUACCAAGGCAACGAUGCGUAGCCGACCUGAGAGGGUGAUCGGCCGCACUGGAACUGAGACACGGUCCAGACUCCUACGGGAGGCAGCAGUAGGGAAUCUUCCGCAAUGGGCGAAAGCUUGACGGAGCAACGGCGCGUGAGUGAUGAAGGUCUUCGGAUCGUAAAAAUCUGUUAUUAGGGAAGAACAAAUGUGUAAGUAACUAUGCACGUCGUGACGGUACCUAAUAAGAAAGCCACGGCUAACUACGUG
rnacentral:rRNA from 1 species